CAUGCUGUCAGUUACACUACAUGGUAACAUGCUGUCAGUUACACUACAUGGUAACAUCCUGUCAGUUACACUUUAUGGUAAUAUGCUGUCAGUUACACUAGAUGGUAACUUGCUGUCACCAUUCCCUUCGGAUUCACAUAUCGCUUUAAUAUGUGGAACUGUAAUGAUCGUUAUUGCUAACUAGAAUUUCAAAAUUAAAUACUUCCCUGUGUCAUUUCUUUAGCACACUACAGUUUAAAAUGCUUACGUUAAUCUAGCUCCAGACGAACACACCCUUUACCAACAUAAUAAGCACAGAUCAUGUAGCCAGGGAAAAUGCCUUUGUAAACAUUGUUUUCCCAUCGUUAUGCUGUAAGGUUUUGUAAGAAGGUGACCUCUACUGCCGCCAUCUCAGUUUUUGAAACCACGCCAUGCUUUGACGUCUAAGAUAUUUCAUAUCAAGUAUGUCAAGAAAACAUCGUUUGCAUUACCCUCAAGAAGCAUUAUAUACUGGAGGUGUGGCGGGCUCACAAUCUGAUUAGGCCGCGAGUGACCUAUGUAUAAGAUCAAAGUCACAGUGCAAGUGAUUUGUAAAGUACCUUUACUAUUUUCACGAAAUUGACCUUUCCUAUAGACAUUUUCAAGUCGUAUGAUUAAUUGUCUUAGUUUAUUUGCUGUAUAACGCUUGUGAAUGUUCAUGAAACACAUGUCACUAAUAUUGAAGGUCAACUUCACCCUCAUAUGCCUGGUAGUAUGUUCAUGGCAUGCAAUGUUUACUGUCCCUUGGUACUGAAGUUUUAAGGAUUUGACUGACCAUCAUUAUAGGUCAAGGUCACUGGUCAAACUCAUGCAUUCAGUGACACCUGAAAGUAAGGAAAUCCGUUAAAGCGGAAAUCCAGGAGUUUCUUAUGAAGGUGUCAAGAGGCAAGAUACUCUCUGUUGUAAAGAUGUACUGCAUUUGGCAUGUGUCUUUUUCCAAACCGGAAGUCCAAUUGGCUUUCUUUUUAAAUAAGUUUCAGGCAAUGUAGUUUCUGUUUAAAAGCUAUGUUUCCCCCAACUGUAUGUCCAUAUGGGAAUUCACUUAAGUUUCUUAUUCAGGAAGCUAGGGGCACAGGGCUUUUAGCGUUGCACUUCAUAUGUAUCUUUUCCAAACCGGAAAUCAUGUCAUCAAACCAGAAGUGCAUACAAUCUAGAGGCAUAGGUCAUUCUGGUUUAAUACUACUGCGUUGAACAUGUUUUCACAAACCAGAAAUCUGGUCGUUUGACUGGUAGUGAUGUCAUUAGAGCUGAAUAUAAUUGUCGUAUUUAAGUAGUGGUAGGAAUGGGACUUUCGGGCUUUAGAACGUGUACGUGUGUUCUUAGAUCACAAGUAAUUCAUUAGACUGCAGCUGCAUGUAGGUUCCUCGUUAGCUGGAGGUAGACCUGUGUAUAUCAGACUGCAGCUGCAUGUAGGUUCCUCGUUAGCUGGAGGUAGACCUGUGUAUAUCAAACUGAAACUGCAUGUAGGUUCCUCGUUAGCUGGAGGUAGACCUGUGUAUAUCAGACUGCAGCUGCAUGUAGGUUCCUCGUUAGCUGGAGGUAGACCUGUGUAUAUCAGACUGCAGCUGCAUGUAGGUUCCUCGUUAGCUGGAGGUAGACCUGUGUAUAUCAGACUGCAGCUGCAUGUAGGUUCCUCGUUAGCUGGAGGUGGACCUGUGUAUAUCAGACUGCAGCUGCAUGUAGGUUCCUCAUUAGCUGGAGGUAGACCUGUGUAUAUCAGACUGCAGCUGCAUGUAGGUUCCUCGUUAGCUGGAGGUAGACCUGUGUAUAUCAGACUGCAGCUGCAUGUAGGUUCAUCGUUAGCUGGAGGUAGACCUGUGUAUAUCAGACUGGAACUGCAUGACAGUGUAAAUAAUGUCUGAAGCAAUCAUAUUUCUAGUUUGUAACACUCUUGAUUGUUAUCUGGCUCAUUUUGAGUGUCAUCAUUGCCUAAUUGCGCGGAACAAUUAGUGACAAGUUUAUAUAUUCCAAGACUGAAUGCAUUUCACAGUUCGCUUCACGUUACCCGAGAUACAACCAACUCAUCAUUCAUAUCAGCGUUACCCUGUACAUCAAAACAAAGUAUCAACAUGUCGAAAAAUACAAACUCUCUCCACUGUGAGGUCUGUAACGCUCACACAACACAUCGGCACAUGCACGCAUCUUUGGUGAGUUGUUACAUCCUAAUGAAAACUCCUGAUAUAGGUGAACACCCCCUCGUAUUUCCUCGUAGCGGAGACCUGAUGUUUAAUUACACAUCUCUAUAUUUUUAACUAUAUAUUAUCUUUACAUACAUGUGUGUUACUGGUCUAAUUGGAUUGUGAUAUUGUUGUUUUUGUAGUUGUUUACAAACUUUCUGAUAUAUUUGAAAUGCCAUAAAUACAACGUCUUAAAAUCUC